rnacentral:lncRNA from 1 species
GGGUGGGGCUUGGAGCAACCUAGGAUAGCGGAAGAUGUUCCUGUCCAUGGCAGGGGAUUGUACUAGAUGGCCUUUAAAGGUUCCUUUCAACUCAACCCAACCCAACCUGGCCCAAUCCAACCCAUUCUAUGACUCUGAUUGUGUGACCUCUUAGGGCCCCCAGUGCUGGGAAAGGUCAUGGCUGUAAUGCCUCUUCUAUGCCUUUGUUGCCUCAUCUUCCUUCCAGGGCUGGGAAAUUUCCCUGUUUGUUAUGGGAUCUCUCCUGCUGCUCUUAUUGUUUGUUGGCCUGGCUUUCUAUUUCAUCAAAAGUUGAGAAACCACCACGGUAUCUGCUGUGCAUCCUCCACCCUCUCCUUCCCCAGGGCCUCCUCUCUAAAUGCUGCACAGAGACUGGCUCCUUCACUCAGCUACACGGCCUGCAGACUGUUCAACAUGCUGCUCUGCAUUCUUGCAGCAAAAUCCCUACCUUUUCACAAAGCCCCUUUGUUUCUGACAGAGCAGACUGCAGGUUUUGCGGGAGGUUGAGAUAACACCAGUAAAUCCUGGAUGAUGCUGGGAGGAUCAGCAGGUGCAGUGUAAGGGCCAUCAGUGGCACUGACAACAUGUUGUGGUGGGAGAGUAGAAAGCUGAAGGCAUGUGGCACACAACAGAUGAUGCUGUGGCCACAGGGAAGAGCUCUUCCUUGGAGCAGGAUGGAAUUGACAAACACCUUAGGAUUACCUGGGUGGGAAACACCUUCCACAUUAUAACAUGACACCACAUUAAAUAAUAACUUGGUGUUCCCUAAUGUGGUCAGGAGGCAAACAGCAGCUGAACACUCAGGCUGUACAUCUGUCUGAAAUAAAUGUUACAGUGGAUGGUUAUUUAACAAGCCCAGAUGUCCCCAAAAUUACACCAACAUCGAAAUGAAUGACUGCAGGCAGAUGGCAGCAGAUUUCUAGUUCUCUUGGGCACAGCCCUGGAGCCAGCAAUGUGUCUUGGGGGAGCAGAGUGGGUGUCCUGCUCCCUCAAACACUGGGGCUGCUGCACAGACCUGCCCCAUGCAUCUACAUCUGUGCAUACGUGUACAUCUCUAUAUGUGUGUCUGUGUACAAACACUUCAAUUGGUUAUUACUUUUCUUAAUUUUGACCUUGGACUCAAAGAGACCUGAGAAAAAGGCUGGGAAAUUCUCAAAGGCACAGGUUGUGCCAAGCGUGGUGCCCGUGCAGACAAAAGCCUGCUUGGCUGAUGCAGAGGAAGAACACAUACUCUGCCUCCUCUCAGGAUUCACUACUGGGUGCUGAGCCAAGGCCACUGCCAUCAGACCUUUCCUCCUGAUAGACAAGGCCAGUCUCUGGUCCUUCUGGACUCCAGCCUCCCCUGUGCCCUUUUGGUCUGCUCUGCUAGAGCAGCUCUGCUCUAGAGAGAGCCCUUGCUACUGGGAUCACAACAGAGGGUAUCCUGCCCAGGGAAAUUAGUUAGAGAGCUGAACACCCAGUUAAUCAGCUCCUGCCAAGGUACAACUCUUACUGGUAUGGUCCUGGUCCUGCCCAUAUCUUGCCAAGACAGUGGGCAGCACCAGUACCAGACUCCAGAUCUGCUGGGUCUGUGGGGUGAGGAGGAUGGAAUCUCCUCAGUAAAGAUUGUUUCCUACAAGUCUGAUCUAUUCCUAAUGGUGCAGCACCUGAUACCAAGCUCCAACAACAUCGUGUGUGGAGUGCUGGUCUCACCUCAUGAGUUUCUGCACCCUGUGCAGUUCUGUGCAUGGUGAUAGUGACCCAGACAGAUCCAGCCUGCUCACAGGCCAGGCAACUGCCUUCUGCUGAGGUCCAUGGGUCCCAGCCAGCUUCAGUGCCAGCCAGGAUCAGCAGCACAGGAGGAGCAAAGCCUCAGCCUUCCACUGUCCAGCCUCUUGUGCCAGGCAGCGCCUUCCAGUCAGCAGCUACAAAGCUCAGAGAAGAGCAUCACCUUGCUGCAGACUUCUAGACCUCACCAUGAGCUGCACUUCAGUCCCACCCAGCCCCUAAGCUGCUGCUCCAUAGGAGCUCCUGGUGCACCAUGUUGUUAGCACAUGCUGAUCCAUCCUGGGUGAGUGCCGCUGAAUGGCAGUGGGGCUGCCCAUGCUGAUGCCAGGCUUGUGUUUGCUCUCUGCAGGGACAGAAACAACAUACUCUGGAUUUUGCUUUAUAGCCUUGGGUGGCUGGAAGAACCUCCUGAGAUGGUAUUGACACCAAGCCUUAAAAAGAGGUUUGUGACCUGCUGGUUGGAGGCCAAGCCUGGCAUGACUGGCAUCUCCAUGGCCAGCAGUGAGUGCUGGCUGGAGGUGGGGGGGGGGCGCAUGGCCUCACCCCCACCCAGAGGGGCUUCCCAGAUAUAUUUGCCAAGUGCCAGGGUUAGCAUUGCUGGGGAGUGCAGCUAGCAGAGGUUGGGGACACUCUGGGAGCCUUUCAUCCCCACAAGCCUACCCCACCACAUGGUGUAAAUGCAGCAGGGUUCUGUGCAGGGCUGGCCUGAUGGCAGCAGCUCCUGGCUGGAGCACUGGGACUCUCCCAUCCUGCCAUCCUACCUUUUUCUGCAGGAGGAUAGCCCUGUUCACUGUCUUCUUUUUCACCAUCAGGGCUGAGUUCUGGGUCGAGGGUGUUACCAGCUGCGCUUGGCUGGACAGUGGCUGGGGCAGGGGGGCAAGACCCCCCAGAGCAGUCCCUGAAGCCAGGGCUGUGCCUGUGGAGCUAUCAUCACCUGCAACAAUAGAGAGAGAAACACCUCAAAAAGAGGCCCUUGACGGGUCUCCAGUGGGGAAUGGGGCCCUUUCAUGAGCCCAGCAGUGCCAGGAAGUGGCCAUGGUAAACCCCAGUGGGGCUAGGCCUUACCAUUCGCAGGGGCCAGCUCCAUAGCCAAAGUGUCCCCAAGAUGCCCAGUGUCCUUGCAGAGUGAGGCCACACUGACAAUCUGGAUGCCUUCCUUGGUGUCCUGGCUGCCAGCACAGCAGGGUGCCCGGCUGCCCAUAGGAUCCCCAGUGGGCAGUGCAGGGUGCCGGGUGCCCAGCAGCCUGGGGGGCUCAGCCUCAUGCCCCUGCUGUGGGGGCCAGGGCUGGUCCCCAUCCCAGCCAGCUGCUGCUGACCCUGGUUCCACACUCUUCCUCUUGAGAAAGAGGUACACGGCCUGUGGCGUCACCCGGAUGUCAUCCAGCUCCAGCACCUUCUUGAUCUUGCGGAAGCUCAGCCCAGCCCUGCGCAGCUCCACGAUCCUCCUCUUGGCAUGGUCAUCCAGCCGGCCCAUUGCUGCCAGAACUCCUCCUGCGCCCAGCACCUACAUCCCUGGAGUGUGUCUGUGGUGGGGAUGCUGGCACCCCCCAGGUAGCUCUAUGCCCCGUGAUGGUGCUCAGGCUCAGCUAGUGCCUUGCUGCCAGGCUGCUGGCUCUUGCUCUGCGUCCAUGUGGUGCCAUCCCCAGCAGUGACACGGUUCCCAGGUGGAAAGGGUGAAGGAGGUGGCUCUUCCCACCAGAAUGAAUAUGGACAGCCCUUGCUCACGUGGAGCCCCUUUAGAAAGAGGGAUCCAGCUUGGUCCCCCAGUCUGCCAAGGGUACAGAGGAUGGUGAUGGGCUUGGCUCUGCCCAGUGUCCUAAACUGGACAUCAAUCCCACCCUGCCAGCAGCACAGUGAGGAAUCAGAAGCAGUCAGGAUCUCAACCAGCAACUCAAUGUCUCAGGAAGCCUGGAGAGAGUCCUGGCAAGUGACAAUUCAUCGCGCAAGGCUGGCAGGACCCCAUUGUGUUUCCCUGGUGGCCCAGAAGGUCACAGCAAGAAGAACUGUAGAAAAUCCAUGUGCGAACUGCUGGUGCUGCAGACCCUAUCCUUGGGUCUGGAGACAACACUGUCCUGUACCUUUGGGAGAAGCAAAUGCAACCACUGAUAUGCUCAUAAAGAAGGCACAACUAUAAGUAUAAUA